GAGAGAGGCUUGCUAGCAACGGAUACUGCUAAUCUCCGUAACUUUGGUUGGAACCCAAUGCUCACUCA
rnacentral:tRNA from 1 species